GACGAACGCUGGCGGCGUGCUUAACACAUGCAAGUCGAGCGGGAACCUCGGCAGGGGUAACCCUUCCGAGGGGAGAGCGGCGAACGGGUGAGUAACACGUGGGCAACCUGCCCCGGACACCGGGAUAACCCAGGGAAACCUGAGCUAAUACCGGAUACUCCGGCACGAUCGCAUGGUCGUGCCGGGAAAGCUCCGACGGUCCGGGAUGGGCCCGCGGCCUAUCAGCUUGUUGGUGAGGUAACGGCCCACCAAGGCGACGACGGGUAGCUGGUCUGAGAGGACGGCCAGCCACACUGGGACUGAGACACGGCCCAGACUCCUACGGGAGGCAGCAGUGGGGAAUCUUGCGCUAAUGCGCGAAAGCGUGACGCAGCGACGCCGCGUGGGGA
rnacentral:rRNA from 1 species